AGCUGAACCGGUGAAACACAUACCCUCCUUGGGGUAGCUCUUAUAUUAAUAUUUGAGCUUUAGUCUUUAUGUUAAGAACUGACUUUUUAACAGAGGUUAAAUGAGUGUGUUACUCAUAACAAUUCUCUACAUAAAUCACAGAUAUUCUCGCAGUAGUUCGAGACCCACUUUAAAAUGUUGUAACUCUACUUCCCUCGCCUGCCAAGUGAACAACUGCAACUGCAUCUGUGAAUUUUUUUUGGAAAAAAAAAAUUCCUCUUCGUGAACAUCUACCAAAUGGUUCAAUGUACUAUUCUCUUUAAAUUACGAUAGCAUAAAACGCAUUUUUUUUUUUUCCUGACACCGUUAUGCUUAUGUACUUUGACGUGCGAAGCGGUCAAAUUGCACCUACUUUUCGUUUUUGACCUUUUCCCAGCAAAAUGCCAUAACUCAAAAAAGCGCCGCAAGCCUCGACGCCAUCUUGUUCGGGCCAACUUCCCUUUACUCCAAACCUACGCUUCGCCGAGUUCGUCUUUGAAAUAUUUUCCGUUUUAGGAGAAAAGCCGCGCUCGUUUGCCCCUGUGUUCUGCGCUGCCUAAUGAUGAGUUUAUUUCCGCCUUGUGCGGGAAUAUUUCGAGAAUGCCGGAGUGCAAGUCAAAAAUUUGUUAUUUUAUAAAAAACGGCGACCGAAAGUCCGAAAACGAUUCUGACAGACUGCCGAAAGAGCUCCCCCGCGCCCUCGGCCGACGCCGUCCGCGAUUUUCACACGACAAAGGCGACGUCAGGUAAGGGACCGUACAUCUUGCCAAUGGGAGAAUCUUCAUCCAUCAUACGGCUUCCCGUACCCAGAUGCUUUAAGGUAUUGUAAGAAGUCGGGAAGUCAGAUCCCGUAACUUCCGGAUAAGGAUUGCUCAUAAGGGCUGGUCGGGCGCGGCCUGGGGUGCGAAGCGUGGCUGGGCUCGAGCCGCGGCGGGCGGGAGCAGUUGCUCCGCCGCCCUCUUCUCGCCACCGUUGCGAAGUUUUGUCUGUGGCCACAUGCGGGGCUCUCAUUGGCGGUCUCGCAAGGGCCGUUUGUGGGGUUUCUUUCGUGGUGGUGUCCUGCGGCAGGCUAAGGCGGACCGGCGAGGGGUUGGGUUUGCGAGGUUGCAGCGGCGACUCUGGGACGCGUUGCGGGCCCCUUCUCUUCGGAUCCCCAGCUACGCGUGCUCUCGGCCCCGUUUAUCGCGGGGUCUCCGGCGGGUUGCCCUCGGCCGGCGCCUAGCAGCUGACUUAGAACGGUGCGGCCAGGAGGAAAUACCGACUUGUUUAAUUAAAACAAAAGCACUCGCGAAGGCAAGGUGGGUGUUGACGCGAUGUGAUUUCUGCCCAGUGCUACUGAAUGUCAAGUGAACGAAAUUUCAAGGAAGCGCGGUAAAACGGCCGCGCGAGUAACUAUGACUCUCUUUAAGGUAGCCAAAUGCUCUCGUCAUCUAAUUAGUGACCGCGCAUGAAUGGAUUUGAACAGAAUUCCCACUGUCCCUACCUACUAUCUACGCAAACAAUCAGCCAAGGGAACGGCCUUGGCAGACAUCAGCGGGGAAAGAAGACCCUGUGUGCUUGACUCUAGUCUAGGCACUGUGAAGAAGCACAUGAGAGGUGUUAGAAUAAGUGGAGCCCUCGGGCCGCCGGUGAAAUACCACUUACUCUUAUCGUUUUUCACUUACCCGUGAGGCGGGGAGGCGAGCCCCGACGGCUUCUCGCUUCUGGCUAUCAUAAGCCACCCGGCUCGCGGUCGGGUGCGACCCGCUCCGGGGAACAGUGUGGCAGGUGGGGAGUUUGACUGGGGCGGUACACCUGUCAAGCGUUAACGCAGGGUGCCUAAGGCGAGCUCAGGAGGACAGAACCUCCCGUGGAGCGAAGGGCAAAAGCCGCUUGAUCUUGAUUUUCAGUAUUGAAUACAGACCCGUGAAAGCGCUGGCCUCACGAUCCUCUGAGUCUUUUUGGGUUAAGGCAGGUGUUCAAAAAACCACUAGGAUAACUGGCUGCUCGAUCCAGAGUCAGCAUUUCAGAU
rnacentral:rRNA from 1 species